UAGGGAAUCUUCCACAAUGGGACGCAAGUCUGAUGGAGCAACGCCGCGUGAGUGAAGAAGGUCUUCGGAUCGUAAAACUCUGUUGUUAGAGAAGAACACGAGUGAGAGUAACUGUUCAUUCGAUGACGGUAUCUAACCAGCAAGUCACGGCUAACUACGUGCCAG
rnacentral:rRNA from 1 species